GGGGAUGCCGGGUAUCGAUAGUAAAGACCGUUUUUAGGUAUUCAAAACGGGUUUUGGUUAUACCGUAAAAAUUAACCUAAAAUAUACUUGCCAAAAAUACUGGCAGAGCGUUUUCUUGGAAGGUUCCAAGUUUCGCUCCUGUUAUGGCUUAAUUAAAAAAUAGCCAUAGCCAUCGGCACGGUGCCGCUUCAGCGCCGCUAACCGGUGUUAUAUACCGAAGCUUUGAAAAUCGCGGUCCCUUCCUGGGAUUUUCGAGACAAUGAAGGGUGGUUGAUGUUUCUUUUGUUUGAUUUUUGAUGACAUCAACGACAAAUACAAAUCAAACUACUUUUGUAAAAUUAUCUAGAAGCGCUUAUUAGACAUGGGUUCAACUCCCAUCAUCUCCACAU
rnacentral:tmRNA from 1 species